CAUAAUGCAAUCUAAGUCUUUUGAACUUAUUAUAAUUAAAUAUCUUUACCACAAAUGAUCUAUUCUUCAUACCUGAGGUGCCGAGCUUUCCAAAAUGAGUCUUUGUUCUUUAAAUUGAAUCUUUUCUUCAAACUUCCACAAUCAACUCUUCAAGACUUCAUUCGACUUUACGAAAUCCGCCAACCUAGAAAAUCCUUAACAAUCUCCUCCUUUGACGAUUUCAUGACAAAACAUAUUACAAUGCUCGUACACAACUCAGAAACAAUAAAAAGAAGAUCAUCGCAAUCACCAAACGACAAUCUCCUGCAUGAUCGAUCCAAUAAAAGAAAAAUUACACUUUUCUCACAUUCCUAAUACAAACUCUAUGACUUAAACAUGGAGUCUUGAAGUCUUGAACAUUCCUGCAAAAACAUUCUUAAAGCACAAUCAAGAUUCAAGAAUACUUAUCAU
rnacentral:lncRNA from 1 species